UGGGUAACCUGCCCUUAACUCUGGGAUAAGCCUGGGAAACUGGGUCUAAUACCGGAUAUGACUCCUCAUCGCAUGGUGGGGGGUGGAAAGCUUUUUGUGGUUUUGGAUGGACUCGCGGCCUAUCAGCUUGUUGGUGAGGUAAAGGCUCACCAAGGCGACGACGGGUAGCCGGCCUGAGAGGGUGACCGGCCACACUGGGACUGAGACACGGCCCAGACUCCGUACGGGGGGCAG
rnacentral:rRNA from 1 species